AAAGGAAUUGACGGGCACCCGCACAAGCGGUGGAGCAUGCUGUUUAAUUCGACGAUACGCGAAGAACCUUACCUGGACUUGACAUCCCCUGCAAAACCCUAGAGAUAGGGCCGAGGUUAUCAGGGUGACAGGUGGUGCAUGGUUGUCGUCAGCUCGUGUCGUGAGAUGUUGGGUUAAGUCCCGCAACGAGCGCAACCCCUAUCCUUAGUUGCUAACAUUUAGUUGAGAACUUUAAGGAGACUGCCGGUGAUAAACCGGAGGAAGGUGGGGAUGACGUCAAAUCAUCAUGCCCCUUACGUCCAGGGCUACAGGCGUGCUACAAUGGCUAGUAUAAUGAGAAGCAAGACCGCGAGGUGGAGCAAAUCUAUAAAGCUAGUCUCAGUUCGGAUUGGAGUCUGCAACUCGACUCCAUGAAGUUGGAAUCGCUAGUAAUCCCAGAUCAGAAUGCUGGGGUGAAUACGUUCCCGGGUGUUGUACACACCGCCCGU
rnacentral:rRNA from 1 species